rnacentral:piRNA from 1 species
ACUUGUGAGCUGUUAUAAUAUACAC